rnacentral:rRNA from 1 species
UACGAAGGGGGCUAGCGUUGCUCGGAAUCACUGGGCGUAAAGGGUGCGUAGGCGGGUCUUUAAGUCAGGGGGGAAAUCCUGGAGCUCAACUCCAGAACUGCCUUUGAUACUGGAAGACUUGAGUCCGGGAGAGGUGAGUGGAACUGCGAGUGUAGAGGUGAAAUUCGUAGAUAUUCGCAAGAACACCAGUGGCGAAGGCGGCUCACUGGCCCGGUACUGACGCUGAGGUGCGAAAGCGUGGGGAGCAAACAGG